CCCCCGCCCCCCGGCCCCAACAGAAGCCCUGAUUCGCAUAUUUAGAGAAGAAAUAAUCUCAAUCCUACACCAACUCUCCCAGAACAUGAAGGAGAAGGGAUACUUCCCAACUCAUUUUAAUUUAUAUUUGACUUACCCUGAUGCUAAAGCCAGUAUAAGACAUUACAAGACCCUGCACAUGAUGGAUCAGCUGGCCCCACCCAGAUCAAUGAACUGGCUCAUCUGAUCUCGUGCCCCUCCUCCCCAACCCAGUAACUGACUGUGUAAGAAGACGGCUUCUACUCCCUAUGAUUUCAUCUCUGACCAAUCAGCACUCCUGAUUGGCUUCCCCUCUUCCACCAAGUUAUCCUUAAAAAUUCUGCUCCCUGAAUGCUCAAAUGCUCGGAGAGGCUGAUUUGAGUAAUAAUAAAACUCUGGUCUCCCACA